rnacentral:rRNA from 1 species
CCCUUAGAUGUUCUGGGCUGCACGCGCGCUACACUGAAGCUAUCAACACGUUUUCCCUCCCUGAGAAGGGCGGGUAACCUUUUGAAUCAGCUUCGUGGUAGGGAUCGGGGCUUGCAAUUGUUCCCCGUGAACCAGGAAUUCCUAGUAGACGCGAGUCAUAAGCUCGCAUCGAUUAAGUCCCUGCCCUUUGUACACACCGCCCGUCGCUACUACCGAUUGAACGUUUUAGUGAGGCAUUUGGACCGACGCAUCUCAGUUUAACCGCUGGUUUGUGUUGGAAAGACUUCCAAACUUGAGCGUUUAGAGGAAGUAAAAGUCGUAAUA